GACGAACGCUGGCGGCGUGCCUAAUACAUGCAAGUUGAGCGCUGAAGGUUGGUACUUGUACCAACUGGAUGAGCAGCGAACGGGUGAGUAACGCGUGGGGAAUCUGCCUUUGAGCGGGGGACAACAUUUGGAAACGAAUGCUAAUACCGCAUAAAAACUUUAAACACAAGUUUUAAGUUUGAAAGAUGCAAUUGCAUCACUCAAAGAUGAUCCCGCGUUGUAUUAGCUAGUUGGUGAGGUAAAGGCUCACCAAGGCGAUGAUACGUAGCCGACCUGAGAGGGUGAUCGGCCACAUUGGGACUGAGACACGGCCCAAACUCCUACGGGAGGCAGCAGUAGGGAAUCUUCGGCAAUGGACGAAAGUCUGACCGAGCAACGCCGCGUGAGUGAAGAAGGUUUUCGGAUCGUAAAACUCUGUUGGUAGAGAAGAACGUUGGUGAGAGUGGAAAGCUCAUCAAGUGACGGUAACUACCCAGAAAGGGACGGCUAACUACGUG
rnacentral:rRNA from 1 species